rnacentral:rRNA from 1 species
GACGAACGCUGGCGGCGUGCUUAACACAUGCAAGUCGAACGGAAAGGCCCUGCUUUUGUGGGGUGCUCGAGUGGCGAACGGGUGAGUAACACGUGAGUAACCUGCCCUUGACUUUGGGAUAACUUCAGGAAACUGGGGCUAAUACAGGAUAGGAGCUCCUGCUGCAUGGUGGGGGUUGGAAAGUUUCGGCGGUUGGGGAUGGACUCGCGGCUUAUCAGCUUGUGGGUGGGGUAGUGGCUUACCAAGGCCUUGACGGGUAGCCGGCCUGGGAGGGUGACCAGCCACAUUGGUACUGAGAGACGGCGCAGACUCCAACUGGAGACAGCAGUGGGGAAUAUUGCACAAUGGGCGGGAGCCUGAUGCAGCAACGCCGCGUGCGGGAUGACGGCCUUCGUGUUGUAAACCGCUUUCGCCUGUGACGAAGCGUGAGUGACGGUAAUGGGUAAAGAAGCACCGGCUAACUACGUG